UAUUAUUGUCCAUUCAGUUUGCAAGCGAAACACUUCGAUGUCAUACGGGUGGCGUGCUCAUCAGGGAAGAUAUAAAAUGGCGUUUUUGGUCGUCCGCUUGUGCUUUGUUCAGUUAUUCAUAAUAAACCAUGUGUAUAAAGUAUAAGGUACUUUUAAUGACACCAAUAUUAUUAUAUUAAAUAACCAGUACUGAAUUUUUAAUUAUAACAUAACAGAAAGGAAGAAGCUCUCGACUAAUUGUAAGUUUCUUGGGACAAAGGAGAAAUUAAACUGGCAUGAAUUUUUACGAAGAAAGGAAAUGAAAAUAAUCAGAAACGUAAAUAUAAAAGCAUUUAACCGAGAAACUAAAAAGCUUCCUACCAUGUUGAAAGUUCCUUAGUACAAAUGAAAAACUAAACUGCCAUAUCAUUUUAUGAGGAAAUUACAUGGAAUGUAUCAGAAAUGUAAAUAUAUAAGCAUUUAACCAAGAAACUAAAAAGCUUCCUACCAAGUUGGAAGUUCCUUAGUACAAAUGAAAAACUAAACUAGCAUACUAUUUUAUUAGGAAAUGAUAUAAAAUGAGUCAGAAAUGUAAAUAUAUAAGUAUUUAACCAAGAAAAAACUGUCCACCAAGUUUUAAACUGUCAUGUUAUUUUAUGAGAAAAGGAAAUGAAAUGAAUCAGAAAAGUAAAUAUAAAAGCAUUUAACCAAGAAACUAAAAAGCUUCCCACCAAGUUGUAACUUCCUUAGGACAAAUAAAAAAUUGAACUGGCAUGUUAUUUUAUGAAGAUAGGAAAUGAAAUGAAUCACAAAUAUAAGUUAUAAGGUAUUAGGAUCAUUUACUCGGAAACUACUCAUCGAUUUUACUUUCUUCAGCCACUCGAACCAAUUGAUUAUGUCAAUGUACUUGCACAGCAAAAUAAUUGGGAGAUCUCGGGUUCGAACUCUUAGAACAUUAAUAAAGUCUAUUUUAAUUUGGAUAUUGACAUAACGACAAGUGUAUGGACGCAAUAACUGCAUACACCGUCAGUUGGCAUCGGUCGACAGUCACCGCCAGCAGAGUCUGUCUGUUUGCAUCUGUCCUGCCGCCCCCAAAUCUUGACAAUGUCGCUUGUAUAGGUUUCGUUUGAAGGUCUAUCCUCUUUACGCAUUCCGGUGAGAUGACGUUACACUCGCUACCAGUGUCUAGGUACACGGAUAGCUCGUUUCCUUCUGGUGUAACGCCCCAUUUGUGGUACCCAGGCACAGACAUUUGGAGAACGUUGAUUCGCUGUACAUCGAAUCGUGGUUUAAUGUCUCUCCUCUUGGGACACCUCUCUGCAUAAUGUCCCCGUUCCUUGCAAAGGCAACAGACAUCCUUGGUCCUGGACCGUGGGCAGUUGCGUCCGAUGUGACCUACCUCCUGGCAGUUAAGACACCGUCUGAGAUCCGAGCCGGAUAGUCGCCUUGGUUCAGCAUCGUUC